CUGAUCCACUGGUGUUCUGCCCACCUCAGCUUCCCACAGGGCUGGGAUUGCAGGCGUGAGCCACCAUGCCCAGCCUAGACUCUUCUGACAAUAUGAUGAAAGCUGUUGGUUCCUUUCCCCAACACACACACACACACACAGUUGUAUCACGAAAAUGUCAUACAAUUUCCAAGUUUUCAGAGUGGUGGGCUCAGAUUGCGGUCAAAAGAUCAGACGACCUCUAAUGACCUUCACAUCUCUGUUGAUGAUCUGGGGACAGCUGGAGCCCCUGUGUCCAGGGAGUUCCUUAGUCCCUUGCCCUUACCAGAGAAGGGCAAUUGCCACGGGAGCUGCAAAGACCCUAUUCCUACUCUCGGUGCCUUACUUAUGCAGCACAACUGAAUUUUUUGUUUUGUUUUUGUUGAGACAGGCUUGCUCUGUUGCCCAGGCUGAGCGCAGUGGUGUAACCACGGCUCACCGCAGCCUCGAACCCCUGGGCUCAAGCCAUCCUCCCACAUCAGUCUCCUGGGUAGCUGGGACCAGAGGCCUGAGCCGCCAUAGCUGGCUAAUUUUUUAAUUUUUUUGCAGAGAUGAGGUUUCAUCAUGGUGCCCAGGCUGGUCUCGAACUCCUGGACCCAAGUGAUGCUCCCUCCUUGGCCUCUCCAAGUGCCGGGAUUGCAGGCAUGAGCCACCACCUCCAGCCUGUGGAGCACACACGAGUUUAAAAUUACUUUCCCUUCCGCCUGUAUUUCCAAGGAGGAAACUUCAUGCACAGGGAUCUUUCUUAGUGGAUUUAAUGGCUAAAAGGUCUGUCUGAACCCAGGACGCUGGCUUCAGCCUUGCUAUGCAGCUGCGGUAACCCCAGUGUCUAAGCCUGAGGCAUCCCAGGAGCACCCACUCCACUUUUCUCGGCCGCGGAACUCAUUAGUUAGAGCGCCCUCUUGUGUCCUCAGGUGGUAAUCGGUCAUUAAAGGACUUAAAACGGUCCUUAGCCAACACACAGAACUUUCCCUUUUCUGACCCCAAGAGGUCAGCCAUCCAUUUCGUGAGCAUAUACUGGUGGCCCCAUCAGCGUUCUCUGAUUGGCUAACUGAACUCACUCCCCAACCUAGACUCAAGGGAGGCCAAGUGACGCUAAGAUCAACAUUCACUCACUAAAGCAAUGACUCUCGGGCGAUUUUGUGUCCCGUUGGUUUUGGAAUGGUGUCUGCAGACAAAUUUUGGUUGUCACAGCUGGGUGGGUGUGCUCCUGGCAUCUGGUGGGUAGAAACCAAGGAUGCUCCUAAACAUCCUACGGGCACAGAACCGUCUCCCAUGACCAAGCAUGAUCAAGUCCCAAAUGCCAAUAAUGGCCAGGUUGAGAAACUCUGCAUAGAAGCAUCCAGCUAUUUGUCUGUUUGCUCAACAAGCUUGUGCUCAUCGUGCUCUGUGUUCCUGACACUGUGCUGAGUGUUGGGGGUGAGAUGAUUACAAGAGUUACAUGGCAGCUGUCCUCCUGGAAGGUACAACCCAGUAGAGAUGCAGACGAACAGAGAGUCAAUUACAAAGCAGUGUGACAAGCGUCAUGCUGGAAAAUUAAAAGCUCAAACAAGGGCAGAUGGGAGGGGCUUCCAACACAGACUUUGGGGAAUCCAGGAAGGUCUAAGAGAAAGGUGAGUCUCACCAAAGCCUUGACCACAGGCAGAGGGUACCAGGUAGAAAAGGUGGGGUGAAGAGCAUUGAGGACAAAAGGAGAAAGUGCAGGAAGGCCCUGAAGCAAGGGAGUGGGGGGUGCCCUAGAGGGAUGGCAGCAGGGUAGUCUGUCAGACCGAAGUGGCCUCCAGCCCUAGAAGCCAAUUAGUCUUCCUCAAAACGCUGCCACUGUCCCCUAAGAAUUGCUGCCAUGCUCCCAAUGGCCUGACUCAGUCUUAGAGAGUCUUAUGGAGAAGGUCUCUGAAAGGUACACAGCAAGAACUCUCCCCAGUACAGCUGUUUUUAAGACUCUCCACCAGCGUCAUUAGCGUGUUGGGAAGAAGCCCUCUGCCACAGAGGCCAGCUUCAGCCUUUGCCUAACACCGCAGGGGCAAAUGGAAAGGUAAACGGGAAGGAGAUGUCUCCCCAGCAGGUUAUUUGCGAACAGUCUCCCCUGCAGAGGAUCUCAAUCUGGGGUCCACAGAGCGGACAUGUUAGAGUAGGGAGCUAGGCAAACAUGAGCAGGACAGGAGAGAGCCCCCACAAGAACGUCAGGCGACCAUCAGGUGAUGGUCUCUGUAAAACUGUCUCUGUAAAAUAAUUGGUUGCAGCCAGUUCCAAGCAAGGACAGUCUCUCAAUAGAUACAAAACACCCGGAUCUGGUGAUCAGCCGCUUCCCGAUAAGAUGUCAGGAGCUGGGCAAGUAGGCUGGAGCAUGCGCACCAAAAGGCAAAAUGGCGGAAUUUAACCAGUGUAUGACCUCGCUCUGGGAACGCACGACUGGUAAGGGGAAAAUGCCUCAGGUGAGCAUGCGCUCAACUUCAGUACUCAGACUGUGCUUACGACCCCUCCCAAGUGCUGGCGGGUCACCAUAUACGCGGACAGCCUGCUCCAAGGGAAGAAUCAGGGGAGAUGAGACGUAAAUCCCAGAACCACGCCAAAUAUAUAAAACCCCAAGUUAAGGGUCAGGCAGGGCACUCAGAUCUCAAGUUGCCUGCCUGACCCAAGUGUACUGUACUUCCUUUUGUUCCUGCUCUAAAACCUUUUAAUAAACUCUCACUCCUGCUCUAAAACUUA